rnacentral:misc_RNA from 1 species
GAAAUGCGAUAAGUAUUGUGAAUUGCAGAAUUCAGUGAAUCAUCGAAUCUUUGAACGCACAUUGCGCCCUUUGGUAUUCCAAAGGGCAUGCCUGUUCGAGCGUCAUUUGUACCCUCAAGCUUUGCUUGGUGUUGGGCGUCUUGUCUCUAGCUUUGCUGGAGACUCGCCUUAAAGUAAUUGGCAGCCGGCCUACUGGUUUCGGAGCGCAGCACAAGUCGCACUCUCUAUCAGCAAAGGUCUAGCAUCCAUUAAGCCUUUUUUUCAACUUUUGACCUCGGAUCAGGUAGGGAUACCCGCUGAACUUAAGC